GACGUAGGGCGCGAGCGUUGUCCGGAUUUAUUGGGCGUAAAGAGCGUGUAGGCGGCCAGAUAGGUCUGCUGUGAAAACUCGAGGCUCAACCUCGAGAUGUCGGCGGAAACCAUUUGGCUAGAGUCCGGAAGAGGAAAGUGGAAUUCCUGGUGUAGCGGUGAAAUGCGCAGAUAUCAGGAGGAACACCGGUGGCGAAGGCGGGUCUCUGGGCCGAUACUGACGCUGAGGAGCGAAAGCGUGGGGAGCGAACAGG
rnacentral:rRNA from 1 species